rnacentral:rRNA from 1 species
UGGAGGGCAAGUCUGGUGCCAGCAGCCGCGGUAAUUCCAGCUCCAAUAGCGUAUAUUAAAGUUGUUGCAGUUAAAAAGCUCGUAGUUGAAUUUCGGGGUUCAUACGUUGGUCGGGCUUUUUGGUCUGUACUUAUGUAAUGGAUUCCUACCUUCUGAAUAACCGGCAUGCCAUUAAUUUGGUGCGCCGGGGAAGCAGGACUGUUACCUUGAAAAAAUUAGAGUGCUUAAAGCAGGCUAUCGCCUGAAUACAUUAGCAUGGAAUAAUGAAAUAGGACGGCAUGGUUCUAUUUUGUUGGUUUCUAGGAUCACCGUAAUGAUUAAUAGGGAUAGUUGGGGGCAUUAGUAUUCAAUUGUCAGAGGUGAAAUUCUUGGAUUUAUUGAAGACUAACUUCUGCGAAAGCGUUUGCCAAGGAUGUUUUCAUUAAUCAAGAACGAAGGUUAGGGGAUCGAAGACGAUCAGAUACCGUCGUAGUCUUAACCAUAAACUAUGCCGACUAGGGAUCGGACGAUGUUAAUUUUUUAAUGACUCGUUCGGCGCCUUACGGGAAAC